ACGGAAAAUGGGUUGGGCGGGGCUCAGAGGCGGGGCUUGGGCUGGGGGUGGGUUUCAGACUCAAGAGGCCAGACCAGCUAGAGGGUGGGUGUCUGACAUGCUGAGGGGGCAGGGGCAGGGCCUGGAGAAUAAGAGUGGCACCUCUCAAGCCCAGGCUCAAGCUCAAGGACAGAGCCCAGGCUCAGGUAGAGAGGAACCACAAGGACGGGCCACCAUCGGCACUGCGCUGAGACCCAGGCACUAUAGAAUUCAGAAGAUAGGAGUCUAGCAGCCUCCAGACAGGGCAAGGAGGGGACAGAGAAAGAUGUGGGUGCAGGACGCACAGACACCUCUCCUUCCCUGCCUGCUGAGCCACCCUCACCAGGCCCUCGGGAUCAGGUCCAAGUUCUUCUGCCUGGCGCUCAGUGGCAUCAUCUUCCGCUGACCUACAUUUCCAGCCAUAUCAUUCAUUUCUCCCACCUCAAACGCCAGCCUCCACCAUCCAGGACGAUUCACAGGUGAGAAAUCUGCAGUGAAGAAAGGUACAUCCCAAGGGGACACCGACAGCUGAGGGAGAGAAGAUCUGAGUCAGAGAGGAGUUCUGGAGAAACCAAGCGCAUCCCCCUCAACAUGAACUCCAGUCAAGAUUGGUCAGGUGCAGUGGCUUAUGCCUGUAAUCCCAGCUGAGGCAGGAGGAUCGCUUGAGCCCAGGAGUUUGAGACCAGCCUCGCCCACAUCUUCCAUCAGAGGAUCCCACGAAAACAGUGCCAAAGAGAAUUCAGAACUACGUCCACUGGUCCAGUAACCCAUGGUUCCCACAGCAGGUGUCUCCCUCAACCCAACCUGGACGGGGGGCCACCUGGAUUGACAUUCGUCAUCUCUUCCACUGGACCGUGAGCUCCUUGAGGGCAGAUAAGAAAACUGAGGCUCAGAACGGGAAGUUCAUUGCUCAUCAUCAAACAUCCAGGAAAUGGUGGAGCCUGAAUGGGAACUCAGCUUCCAACAUGGCGUGGAUGUGGCCCAUCCCUUGGUGGCCUGGCUGGGUCUAUCUUAUGACAGUACGAGAUUGAAUGUUGGAGUGCCUUGCAGAAGAGAGAGAAAAUGUUGCUAAAACUUCAGGGGAAUGACUGGU